rnacentral:miRNA from 1 species
AGGGGGAGGGGGAUUCGAAGGCGAGAGAAAGAGAGCGAGGGAAAAUGGGAGGGGCGAGAAAGAAAUAGCUUCUCUCGCCUUCGAAUCCCCCCCCCCUAGCUUCUCCCUC